ACAAUUUGGAUGUGGGUACAAAUCAAAAGUGAAAAGCUUGUGUAGACUCAUCAUUAACAAUGAGGUCAGAAGACUUGCAGAUGGAGGUCAUCCUGGGAAGACAUUUACCUUUCAAAUUCAGGUGAGGUAUAAACUAUAAAUAUCAUCUACAUGUUCAUCCAUGUAUGGUAUGUCCACCACAUUCUUUGCUUUAGGGCUGGUGUUUCUCUUGACUGGUCAUGCCUGGUUGUGUCUCUACCUUAGCAGUUAAGUAUUUUGAACAUUACCCAACUGAUACAUUGUGAACACUCAUU
rnacentral:lncRNA from 1 species